UAGGGAAUCUUCCACAAUGGACGCAAGUCUGAUGGAGCAACGCCGCGUGAGUGAAGAAGGUUUUCGGACCGUAAAGCUCUGUUGUUGGUGAAGAAGGAUAGAGGUAGUAACUGGCUUUUAUUUGACGGUAAUCAACCAGAAAGUCACGGCUAACUACGUGCCAGCAGCCGCGGUAAUACGUAGGUGGCAAGCGUUGUCCGGAUUUAUUGGGCGUAAAGCGAGCGCAGGCGGAAGAAUAAGUCUGAUGUGAAAGCCCUCGGCUUAACCGAGGAAUUGCAUCGGAAACUGUUUUCUUGAGUGCAGAAGAGGAGAGUAGAACUCCAUGUGUAGCGGUGGAAUGCGUAGAUAUAUGGAAGAAUACCAGUGGCGAAGGCGGCUCUCUGGUCUGCAACUGACGCUGAGGCUCGAAAGCAUGGGUAGCGAACAGGAUUAGAUACCCUGGUAGUCCAUGCCGUAAACGAUGAGUGCUAAGUGUUGGGAGGCUUCCGCCUCUCAGUGCUGCAGCUAACGCAUUAAGCACUCCGCCUGGGGGAGUACGACCGCAAGGUUGAAAC
rnacentral:rRNA from 1 species